UUUAGAGUACUACCUUGUUUAUGUGUCUAAAAUAUUGCUGUUUGUUGCUUUAGUUUGAUCAGCUGUUUGAGCAAAGUGAGCAAGGAAUUACUGACAUGGAAUGGGCUGUGUCCAAGUUCAACUCGGCUCUCACCCGCUUCAGAAAGCAAUGUGCUGUGGCUGACAUUGGACUAGGAGGUCAACCUACUUUGGAAGAUUGUAUUACUGCCUUGAAGAAAGCAAUUGUUGGAUCAAGAGGUAUUGUUUCCCCAACUCAUCGUUUCCAGUCAAAUCGAAAAAGAAGUCGUACUACAAGUGUGGACAGCUAUUGAAAUAUAUCAAAACGAAGUUGUAAGCACAGCUGAACGCAUUCUCAGUGUAUGUCCCAUAGCUGAAAGCCUUUUAUGUGGACUAUAUGAGGAGCUUGUGAAGCUACAGGAUCAAAGCUGGGAUCUAUGCACGGCUGCUGGUCUUACAAAGAAGGCAACGAGGGAAGCUGUUUUUGUAAUAAAAGCAAACAUAGAUGUAAUAAAACAAACGAGGAAUACGGCUACAAAGGGUGUACAGGCUGUAGAGCGAUCGAUCGACUCAGAAAGUACAGGCAGCAAUGAUGUGGUAGUCAUUGGUCUUGCGAAUGAAGUGAGAUGUAUAGUAUAGAGUAGAUAAGACCAUACAGAAUGAAUGUACAGAUAGAUGUAGGAUAUAUCUAUAUGUCUUGUUUCAUGGUCGUAGUUUGGCUGCAGAA